GUCUAUGGCCAUGCUCCCCUGAACAAGCCUGAUCCCAGCUGAUCUUGGAAGCUAAGCAGGGUUGGGCCUGGUUAUUACUUGGAUGGGAGACCACCUAGGAAGACCAGGUGCUGUAGGCU
rnacentral:rRNA from 1 species